rnacentral:lncRNA from 1 species
CUGCCUGUCGCAGAGCCACAACUUCAAGGGCGCGUGCCUCAGUAGCAGCAACUGCGCCGCCGUCUGCCGCACGGAGAACUUCCCCGACGGCGAGUGCCACGCGCCGCACUACGAGCGCAAGUGCUUCUGCAAGAGGCCCUGCUAGGCCGCUCGCUCGUCCCGCCCUGCUGGCCAGCGCCGAGACACGUCCCAUGAUAGCUAGAUCAUCCGUGCCGUUAGCUAAUGAGCUUAUAUCUGUUCUGUUGGUCGGUGCGUCCAGGUUCGUCAGUCAGUCGUACUAGUUCUUAACUAGAUCAUCCGUGCCGUAACUAGUUCUGUUCUGUUCGUCGGUGUGUCCCUCUUAUAUUAGUAGUAGAACCAAUAAAGUAGAAAAUCAAUCGGGGUCUCGGUAGUUUACUUCGCUGUACGUCAUGUUUGUGCCUGAUUUGUGUGUGGUGAUGUAAUAAAUAUGUUCGUUGUUUCAGCAUGGAUGGACUUGUGCUGUUGUGCAAUGCAUCCCCCUUUCCCCCUGUCUCUGUGUAAGUGUGUGAUCGUGUUCAAAGAGAAAUGCUAGUAUUAUUGCUUGUGACUACUACAUUUUCAUGUGACGAGACGUUUUUGGAAGCUGCAUAAAGAUUUCAUU